CCAUCAUGAUUUUUCUUUGAUUUUAAUUUUAACUUUAAUUUUAACUUUUUAACUUUUGUUUUUUUUUUUUUAAAGCAGGUUGAACAGUCUCCUGAGAAAGUCAGUGCGUCUGCAUGGAAGGAGCAAGACAAACGCUUGGACAUGAGUCCCAGCUUUGCAGCUGCAGCUGCCACAGGAGAAGCGCUCUGAGAUUGAUCCUGACCCACUACUGUUACAUGUAUGUCCUACAAGAGCAAUGUUUGAUCUUGAUAACCACUGGAAUGU
rnacentral:lncRNA from 1 species